CUACGGGAGGCUGCAGUCGAGGAUAUUUAGCAAUGGGCGAAAGCCUGACUAUGCGACGCCGCGUGAGGGAUGAAGGUUUUCGGAUUGUAAACCUCUUUCGAUGGGGAAGAAUUUAGACGGUACCCAGAGAAGAAGCCACGGCUAACUCCGUGCCAGCAGCCGCGGUAAUACGGAGGUGGCGAGCGUUACUCGGAUUUACUGGGUGUAAAGGGCAGGUAGGCGUUUCGAUAAGUUCUUGGUGAAAUCCUUCUGCUUAACAGAAGAACUGCCAAGAAAACUAUCGGGAUUGAGACUAGAAGAGGAGAGCGGAAUUCCCGGUGUAAGGGUGAAAUCUGUAGAUAUCGGGAGGAACACCAGAAGCGAAGGCGGCUCUCUGGUCUAGAUCUGACGCUGAGCUGCGAAAGCUAGGGGAGCAAACAGGAUUAGAUACCCGAGUAGUC
rnacentral:rRNA from 1 species